GGGGAAUUUUGGACAAUGGGCGAAAGCCUGAUCCAGCCAUGCCGCGUGCAGGAUGAAGGCCUUCGGGUUGUAAACUGCUUUUGUACGGAACGAAAAGGUCUUUUCUAAUAAAGAAGGCUCAUGACGGUACCGUAAGAAUAAGCACCGGCUAACUACGUGCCAGCAGCCGCGGUAAUACGUAGGGUGCAAGCGUUAAUCGGAAUUACUGGGCGUAAAGCGUGCGCAGGCGGUUAUAUAAGACAGAUGUGAAAUCCCCGGGCUCAACCUGGGAACUGCAUUAGUGACUGUAUAGCUAGAGUGCGGCAGAGGGGGAUGGAAUUCCUAGUGUAGAGGUGGAAUUCGUAGAUAUUAGGAAGAACACCAGUGGCGAAGGCGGCUUACUGGUCCGGAACUGACGCUGAGGUGCGAAAGCGUGGGGAGCAAACA
rnacentral:rRNA from 1 species